rnacentral:rRNA from 1 species
GACGAACGCUGGCGGCGUGCCUAACACAUGCAAGUUGAGCGAAGUAUAUCUGAGGGAAAUUUUCGGAUGGAACUUAGAUAUAUCUUAGCGGCGGACGGGUGAGUAACGCGUGAGCAACCUGCCUUUCACAAAGGGAUAGCCUCGGGAAACUGGGAUUAAUACCAUAUAAAACUUGUCUUUCGCAUGAAAGAAAAGUCAAAGCGAAUAAGCGGUGAAAGAUGGGCUCGCGUCCUAUUAGCUAGUUGGUGAGGUAACGGCUCACCAAGGCGACGAUAGGUAGCCGGCCUGAGAGGGUGAACGGCCACACUGGAACUGAGACACGGUCCAGACUCCUACGGGAGGCAGCAGUGGGGGAUAUUGCACAAUGGAGGAAACUCUGAUGCAGCGACGCCGCGUGAGGGACGAAGGCCUUCGGGUUGUAAACCUCUGUCUGGGGGAUGAGAACGGACGGUACCCCGGAGGAAGCCCCGGCUAACUACGUG